CGUGUAGGCGGCGGUUUUAGUCAGGCGUGAAAGCCCGGGGCUCAACCUCGGAAUAGCGCUUGAUACUGGAUCGCUUGAGACCGGAAGAGGGUAGUGGAAUUCCCAGUGUAGAGGUGAAAUUCGUAGAUAUUGGGAAGAACACCAGUGGCGAAGGCGGCUACCUGGUCCGGAUCUGACGCUGAGGCGCGAAAGCGUGGGGAGCAAACA
rnacentral:rRNA from 1 species